CUGAUCCCCACCGUCUGUCCCAAUGACCCUCCUGCGAACUCUGCCAUUGCCUUGGUUACAAGCAGAGGCCAGGGAAACGCUACAGCUGCUUCUCAGCACUGUGGAGGAACCCGCUGAGAUGGCCACCUAGGAGCUCCUUUUGUGCCCCCACACCUUGGACCAGGGAUUAUGUGCCCUGGUGAGGGGCUUCAGCAGUGGGUGCCAGUGAGGGAUUCCUGGAUUGGCGGCAUACAUCAUUUCAGCUCUGAAGAAUAAGCGCUUUGCCGGGGUGCCAGAAGUCACUGCAGCCAUCUUUCUGGAGCUGCUCAAGAACCGCCUGGGCAUCCAGCCCUGCAAGGAAACCCUGGUGCAGUUCCUCCUUUGGCUGGAGCACAGGAACAAGGAAGUGCAGAAGCUCAGCCUGCGAGGAUUAGCUCUGCUGCUGGAAGCGACUCCCAGAAGGAAGGAUGGAGGGGGCAAUCUAAGGUUGUUUAACGCAAACCUUCUAAAUUUGCCUUUCCAGAACCAAGAUAUGAACCAAAAUGCAGCUCUUCUCCAAAAUUGCAUGCCUCCAAAUUUUGUGAUUCAGUUCCUUCAUUCAAAAAAUGUCUUCAGAAAUGCUGAUUAGAAGGAAGUGAACACAAAUGCACUUGAGACACGCAUUCAAACUAAACCUAAAAAUAAUGAUGAACAAAUAUAGAAAAAUGAAAAAAAAUACAAAUGCAAAAAAUAUGUAUCAAAGUAAUAUACAGAAAUUUAUGCAAGACGAAUAAUAAACAAUAUGUAUAUACCA